rnacentral:rRNA from 1 species
AACGCUAGCUACAGGCUUAACACAUGCAAGUCGAGGGGCAGCAUGUAUUUCCGCUUGCGGAGAUAUGAUGGCGACCGGCGCACGGGUGAGUAACGCGUAUCCAACCUGCCCCAUACUUGGGAACAGCCCUCCGAAAGGAGGAUUAAUGCCCGAUGUGGUCCAUUGAAGGCAUCUGAUUUGGAUUAAAGAUUUAUCGGUAUGGGAUGGGGAUGCGUCUGAUUAGGAAGUUGGCGGGGUAACGGCCCACCAAUCCAUCGAUCAGUAGGGGUUCUGAGAGGAAGGUCCCCCACAUUGGAACUGAGACACGGUCCAAACUCCUACGGGAGGCAGCAGUGAGGAAUAUUGGUCAAUGGCCGAGAGGCUGAACCAGCCAAGUAGCGUGCAGGACGACGGCCCUAUGGGUUGUAAACUGCUUUUAUGCGGGGAUAACGGACAUUACGAGUAGUGUUUUGCAGGUACCGCAUGAAUAAGGACCGGCUAAUUCCGUGCCAGCAGCCGCGGUAAUACGGAAGGUCCGGGCGUUAUCCGGAUUUAUUGGGUUUAAAGGGAGCGUAGGCCGGCUCUUAAGCGUGCCGUGAAAUGUCGGGGCUCAACCCUGGCACUGCGGCGCGAACUGGGGGCCUUGAGUGCGCGGAACGUAUGCGGAAUUCGUGGUGUAGCGGUGAAAUGCUUAGAUAUCACGAAGAACUCCGAUUG